GACGAACGCUGGCGGCGUGCUUAACACAUGCAAGUCGAACGGAAAGGCCUGCUUUCCCUUGUGGAUUGCGGGUACUCGCGUGGCGAACGGGUGAGUAACACGUGCGUGAUCUGCCCCCAACUUGGGUAUAAGCCUGGGAAACUGGGUCUAAUUCCCGAUAGGACUGCAGGGUGGUGCCUGUGGUUGCAAACGAUUUUCUAGUGGUUGGGGAUGAGCUCGCGGCCUAUCAGCUUGUUGGUGGGGUAAUGGCCUACCAAGACGGGGACGGGUAGCCGGCCUGGGAGGGUGGACGGUGACGGUGGAACUGGGGUACGGCCCAGACUACUACGGGCAGCAGCAGUAGGGAAUAUGGCACGAUGAGCGGAAACCUGAUGCAGCGACGCCGCGGGAGGGAUGACGGCCUUAGGGUUGUAAACUCCUUUCGGCCGCGAGGGAGCGACCUGGUUGGAAGGGUAGUGACGGUAGUGGUAGAAGAAGCACCGGCUAACUACGUG
rnacentral:rRNA from 1 species